rnacentral:rRNA from 1 species
CCCCUAGAUGUUCUGGGCCGCACGCGCGCUACACUGAACAGUUCAACAAGUCUUAACCUUGGCCGAUAGGUCUGGGUAAUCUUUGAACGCUGUUCGUGACUGGGAUAGACCUUUGCAAUUAUGGGUCUUCAACGAGGAAUUCCUAGUAAACGCAAGUCAUCAGCUUGCAUUGAUUACGUCCCUGCCCUUUGUACACACCGCCCGUCGCACCUACCGAUUGAAUGGUCCGGUGAAAUCUCGGGACGGCGGCUUGGUCGCUUGCGUCCGACUGCUGAAACUUGAUUAAACCAUNUNAUUUAUNGGAAGGUGAANUCGUANCA